GACGAACGCUGGCGGCGUGCCUAAUCCAUGCAAGUCGAACGCAGUGGGGACGGGUGAGUAACACGUGGGUAACCUCCCAUCAGAGGGGAUAACACUUGGAAACAGGUGCUAAACCGAUACUGAUGGAUGGAACCGCGUGGCAUUAGCUAGUUGGUGAGGUAACGGCUCACCAGGGCCACGAUGCAUAGCCGCCAUGAGAGGGUGACCGGCCACACGGGGAGUGAGACACGUCCCAGACUACUACGGGAGGCAGCAGUGGGGAAUCUUCGGAAAUGGACGAAAGUCUGACCGAGCAACGCCGCGUGAGUGAAGAAGGUUUUCGGAUCGUAAAACUCUGUUGUUAGAGCAGCGGUAUCUAACCAGAAAGCCACGGCUAACUACGUGCCAGCAGCCGCGGUAAUAC
rnacentral:rRNA from 1 species